rnacentral:rRNA from 1 species
GAUGAACGCUGGCGGCGUGCCUAAUACAUGCAAGUCGAGCGAACAGACGAGGAGCUUGCUCCUCUGACGUUAGCGGCGGACGGGUGAGUAACACGUGGAUAACCUACCUAUAAGACUGGGAUAACUUCGGGAAACCGGAGCUAAUACCGGAUAAUAUAUUGAACCGCAUGGUUCAAUAGUGAAAGACGGUUUUGCUGUCACUUAUAGAUGGAUCCGCGCCGCAUUAGCUAGUUGGUAAGGUAACGGCUUACCAAGGCGACGAUGCGUAGCCGACCUGAGAGGGUGAUUCGGCCCACCGGGACCUGAACCCCCGCCCGGACCCCUACGGGGGGCCGCGGUAGGAACUCUUCCGCAAGGGGCGAAAGCCUGAAGGAGCAACGCCGGGUGAGUGAUGAAGGUCUUCGGAUCGUAAAACUCUUUUAUUGGGGAAAAAAAAAUGUGUAAGUAACUAUGCCCGUCUUGACGGUACCUAAUCAAAAGGCCCCGGCUACCUCCGU